rnacentral:rRNA from 1 species
UGGGGAAUAUUGCACAAUGGGCGCAAGCCUGAUGCAGCCAUGCCGCGUGUAUGAAGAAGGCCUUCGGGUUGUAAAGUACUUUCAGCGGGGAGGAAGGGAGUAAAGUUAAUACCUUUGCUCAUUGACGUUACCCGCAGAAGAAGCACCUGCUAACUCCGUGCCAGCAGCCGCGGUAAUACGGAGGGUGCAAGCGUUCAUCGGAAUUACUGGGCGUAAAGCGCACGCAGGCGGUUUGUUAAGUCAGGUGUGAAAUCCCCGGGCUCAACCUGGGAACUGCAUCUGAUACUGGCAAGCUUGAGUCUCGUAGAGGGGGGUAGAAUUCCAGGUGUAGCGGUGAAAUGCGUAGAGAUCUGGAGGAAUACCGGUGGCGAAGGCGGCCCCCUGGACGAAGACUGACGCUCAGGUGCGAAAGCGUGGGGAGCAAACAGG